CAUAAAGUAGAAAGCACUACUAACAGCGCUGUAGGGUGUAGUGUUUCCUACUUUAUGGA
rnacentral:pre_miRNA from 1 species